AGUGAACGCUGGCGGUAGGCCUAACACAUGCAAGUCGAACGGCAGCACAGGAGAGCUUGCUCUCUGGGUGGCGAGUGGCGGACGGGUGAGGAAUACAUCGGAAUCUACUUUUUCGUGGGGGAUAACGUAGGGAAACUUACGCUAAUACCGCAUACGACCUACGGGUGAAAGCAGGGGAUCUUCGGACCUUGCGCGAUUGAAUGAGCCGAUGUCGGAUUAGCUAGUUGGCGGGGUAAAGGCCCACCAAGGCGACGAUCCGUAGCUGGUCUGAGAGGAUGAACAGCCACACUGGAACUGAGACACGGUCCAGACUCCUACGGGAGGCAGCAGUGGGGAACAUUGGACAAUGGGCGCAAGCCUGAUCCAGCCAUACCGCGUGGGUGAAGAAGGCCUUCGGGUUGUAAAGCCCUUUUGUUGGGAAAGAAAUCCAGCUGGUUAAUAUCCGGUUGGGAUGACGGUACCCAAAGAAUAAGCACCGGCUAACUUCGUGCCAGCAGCCGCGGUAA
rnacentral:rRNA from 1 species